CCCUUAGAUGUUCUGGGCUGCACGCGCGCUACACUGAGUGUCUGAGAUACGAGUCUGCCUGGUCCGGCAAGGUCUAGGUAAUCGCUAAAAGACACAUCAUGCUUGGGAUAGAUUAUUGCAAAUAUUAAUCUUGAACGAGGAAUUCCUAGUAAACGCAAAUCAUCAAUUUGCAUUGAUUACGUCCCUGCCCUUUGUACACACCGCCCGUCGCACCUACCGAUUGAAUGGUCCGGUGAAGCCUCGGGAUUGUGGCCAGUUCACUUUAUUGGGAGUUGGCUGCGAGAACUUGUCUAAACCUUAUCAUUUAGAGGAAGGUGAAGUCGUAACA
rnacentral:rRNA from 1 species